GGAGGAGUGGCGGGCUGGCUGCAGGCUGGAGGGGCGCGGGAGUCGGCGCUGGCACAAGAGGGCCCUCUUCCACCGCGUUGCGCUGGGAGGUCUCCAAGUCCAAGCUUGGCCAUUAUAGCCUUGGUGUCCCACAUGUACACCUCCGGAUGGUCUCCAGAAGCCAGAAGGUCUGAGGUAACGGCAAGUAACCAGGUGGUCACAGAAAGAAGUGAAACAGCUUGUUCCUGCCUCAUCUAAUUGCUCUACCCCUGCAACCUGCAACCAUUGUUUCUGCUCAGCCUUGUGGAAUUUCCCCUCUGGAUACUGGGUUUCUCUAGGCACCCACCCCUGUGACUGUGUAAUUUACAGCACCCUCCCCUCUGCUUGCAACCCAUAUCCUGCACCCUCAUGAUAGUGCCUGUUUGUAACAGAUGACCCCUACCCUUGUGAUCAUGCAUCUGUGAUGCCCUUCCCCUCCCUAAAAUAGAUUAUCACCUUUAACUGACCACUUGUCCCAACCUAUAAAACCAACUCCUAUCCCACUGCCCUUGGCUGACUCUCUUUUUGAACUCAGCCUGCCCGCACCCAGGUGAAUAAACAGCCAUGUUGCUCACACAAA